rnacentral:rRNA from 1 species
AGUCACUGACAUUAGAUACCCCGGUAGUCCAGGGUGUAAACGCUGCAGACUUGGUGUUGGAAGCCCUUUGGGGGCAUUCAGUGCCGGAGAGAAGUUGUUAAGUCUGCUACUUGGGGAGUACGUCCGCAAGGAUGAAACUUAAGGAAUUGGCGGGGAGCACCGCAACGGGAGGAGCGUGCGGUUUAAUUGGAUUCAACACCGUAAAACUCACCAGGGAAGACUGUUACAUGAAGGCCGAGAUGAAGACUCUGCUAGAUUUUCAG